GUGAUAGCUCAGUCGGUGGAGCAUGAAAAUCUCAGGGUUGUGGGUUCAAGCCCCAUGUUGGGCAACA